rnacentral:rRNA from 1 species
CAAUAGCGUAUAUUAAAGUUGUUGCAGUUAAAAAGCUCGUAGUUGGACCUUGGGCCUGGACGGGCGGUCCGCCUCACGGCGUGUACUGUCUUGCCGGGCCUUUCCUCUUGGUGAUCUGUUGUUUCGGCAGCAGGGAACCAGGACCUUUACUUUGAAAAAAUUAGAGUGUUCAAAGCAGGCUCGACGCCGGAAUAUAUUAGCAUGGAAUAAUAAAAUAGGACGUGCGGUUCUAUUUUGUUGGUUUUUGGAAUCGCCGUAAUGAUUAAUAGGGACAGUCGGGGGCAUUAGUACUCACAUGCUAGAGGUGAAAUUCUUGGAUUUUGUGAAGACUAACUUCUGCGAAAGCAUUUGCCAAGGAUGUUUUCAUUA